rnacentral:sRNA from 1 species
UUUAACGGCCUAAUCUAGCUCAGGAGCGGGAAAACCAAUUCUUUGGGGUGAAUUUGCCGCGUGCAGAAGAAUGUCUCUAUUCUAACCCGUCAGCUAAUCUCGCAGGCUUUAUGGAGAGGAG